UUGAACGCUGGCGGCAUGCCUUACACAUGCAAGUCGAACGCGAAAGGGGGCAACCCUGAGUAGAGUGGCGAACGGGUGAGUAAUGCAUCGGAACGUGUCCUGUAGCGGGGGACAACCCCGAGAAAUCGGGGCUAAUACCGCAUACGUCCUACGGGAGAAAGUGGGGACCGCAAGGCCUCACACUAUAGGGGCGGCCGAUGCCGGAUUAGCUAGUUGGUGGGGUAAAAGCUCACCAAGGCAACGAUCCGUAGCUGGUCUGAGAGGAUGAUCAGCCACACUGGGACUGAGACACGGCCCAGACUCCUACGGGAGGCAGCAGUGGGGAAUUUUGGACAAUGGGCGCAAGCCUGAUCCAGCCAUGCCGCGUGAGUGAAGAAGGCCUUCGGGUUGUAAAGCUCUUUCAGACGGAAAGAAAUCGGGCGCGUGAAUAGCGUGCCUGGAUGACGGUACUGUCAGAAGAAGCACCGGCUAACUACGU
rnacentral:rRNA from 1 species